ACUUGUAAUCUGUAAACGCUCUCAAUAUAGUGAAAAACCCGAAGAACUCCCGUGGACGAACCAUGUAGAUAUUGUGUCGUCGUUUAUUGUUUAGGUCACGUAGAUAUUGUGUCGUCGUUUAUUGUUUUAUAAUUUAGGUGUUGGUUUCGUGCUUUAUCAACUGGUGAUGGGAAAACGGAGCUAAGGUUUUCCGGCGACAAUGGGCGAUCCAUAUCAAUUUCAGUUUUCUCUCCAAAGAUGGCCGCUUUUCCUCCGACAUUCAUCGAUCUAUCAUAUUCUCGACAGUCUCAGUAACAAACCAUUUUCCACCAGCAAUAUCUCGCUAAUCUGAAAUUCAUCCAUCAUCUCCCGUCUAAAAUCAAGUUCAGCGCGAGUCCCAAUCGAGCCGCCCCCUGAUACGGCUUUAACCUCCGAUCGAAAAGUGGUCGCUGCCUUCUUUGAGCGCGCGAACAACCGCCACCUCCAACGGGUCGCCUGUAAUUUCGAAUCGUUCUCCCAAAAAUCCUUAUAAUUCUCGGUGAGAUCUGCCAUCAGCAGCUAACGCUGGUCAUGUCGCAUUGAAACAUCACGAGCGGGUACCCUAAUCAAAAUUUAGACACCAAGGCGGCGAAUCGCUGCAGGAAGAAGUUUGAGCAGCCAUGUAGCUGCCCAAUAGGAUGGGGAAGAUGUCCAUUUCUUAGGGCUUUUCUUAAUUUCUACUUUUUUUCUUUACGAUUUCUUCUGACUUUGUUCAAUUUCUGGUGCAAGGACAAAUGAAAUAUCGAGAAAUGCUUAUUGCUUAACGAAAUUCGUCCAAACCGUCGACGUGGGGGAAUCCGAUUAGCCAGGGGAUGCGCACUGUCUUAUCAUAAGUUGUUCAACCUGCUGGUGUUCGAAUGCGGUUUCUGGCGCACAGAUUCACUCCUGCGCAGUUGGUUCAGUGCUGCCUAACGUUUCUCCGAGCGUCGAAUUGGCGAGGGGUUUUCAUCCUGGCCUGGUUUUGCGAGAUGGGUUGGCUGUGGUUGAUUACUCCGAUGCGGACAGGGCCUCAAGCGCGCCCGCCGAUGAAGGGCUCGAGAUCUCCAAGCUUGAUAUCUCGCCUCAGAUUAUAUUGGCUUUGAAAAAUAUAGGCAUCAAGAGGCUUUUUUCGAUUCAGAGGGCAGUGUUGGGGCCUGCUUUCCAACGCCAAAAUUGGCUUCAUCGAGUCGCUCAUGGGGAAGAAGGUGAUAUGUCUGAGCAUGACACCGUCCAGAGGUCCAUUUACUUUGUUUUUAGCUCUUGUACGUAACUGAAAUUUCGCUCUAUUUGCUGUGGUUUGCUUGAGACUGCGGCUUUUGGGACUAAUUGGGGAAAGAUGUAAAGUUAUUGUUGAUAGUGAUUAUAGCUAUGGGGUUAAAUUCUUGCA